UGGGGAAUUUUGGACAAUGGGGGCAACCCUGAUCCAGCAAUGCCGCGUGUGUGAAGAAGGCCUUCGGGUUGUAAAGCACUUUUGUCAGGAAAGAAAUCGCUCUGGCUAAUAUCUAGAGUGGAUGACGGUACCUGAAGAAUAAGCACCGGCUAACUACGUGCCAGCAGCCGCGGUAAUACGUAGGGUGCAAGCGUUAAUCGGAAUUACUGGGCGUAAAGCGUGCGCAGGCGGUUGUGCAAGACAGAUGUGAAAUCCCCGGGCUUAACCUGGGAACUGCAUUUGUGACUGCACGGCUAGAGUGUGUCAGAGGGGGGUAGAAUUCCACGUGUAGCAGUGAAAUGCGUAGAUAUGUGGAGGAAUACCGAUGGCGAAGGCAGCCCCCUGGGAUAACACUGACGCUCAUGCACGAAAGCGUGGGGAGCAAACA
rnacentral:rRNA from 1 species